UGAUAGUAUUCCAGCAUAGUUCUAUAUAUAUAUAUAUAUAUAUAUAUAGUUGGACUGGGCUACUAUUAGUAGCAAAAUCCUAUUGUUGCUAUCAGUUUUUUAACCUUUGGAUCAAUUCUUUUCAUUAUUUCUAACCAUUGGAUUAAAUAAUAUAACCCAGUAGGGACCACUCAACCCUAAGGGGACCACUCAACUCUAACCGACUAAUAUCAUCCUGACCCUACAAUUUUUCAUCCAAGGGUUAAAAACUUGAUAGUAAAAAGAACGUUUUACUAUUAAUAAUAUUUUGAGCCU
rnacentral:lncRNA from 1 species